rnacentral:lncRNA from 1 species
GUCAAUACUUGCAGCAAUGCAAUUCAAAGCAUUUCUCUGAAGUGAAGAAGAUCGAGUUGCUAGUCUGCUUAGGCCAAUUCCGGUGAUUCAGUAAGAACAUGCAUUGCACGCACACAAGCUUACUAAAUCACUUUCCUGAGUUUUAACCACCUAAUGUAUAAGUUUUGUCGUUCUCUGUGCAAUUGCCUGUAAGGUUUUAGCCAAUACUAAUUAGCUACCUCUACUGAGCUGAACAUAGUCAGCUCAGCUGCUUGACUAUGAUAGUUGACCAUGUUCAUAUGUUCUUUUUAUUGCUUAUCCAAUCAAAUAGCCUUGUUUUUUCGGAACAAAGUUAGAAGUAACAAUUGACAUAAUUUACUAAUAUGGAAUCUAAUGUAUGAUUUUCAUGGUCCCAGAAUUUUGCAUACAUCUGUGUGAAGUUUGAAGGUAAAGACAUGCCUGCUAGACAAACAGUAGCAGCAGUUGUACAAUGAAGAAAGUAAUCAAUGCAUGACCAAGACUUAAGGUCCUGCAAUAGUGUCCUUCAGAAGUGAUAAAUUUGCUUGUUUAAGUGUAAUACGAUAUCAUCAUUAAAAACACUUGGUACCCAAAAUAAAUAAAUAAACGAAAGAAUUACAAGUGGUUUAACUGAUAACAACACCUUCUAUACAUAGUGUAAGAUAAAAAAUUUAAAACUUAUCUAGAAUUUCUGAUAUUCAGAAGGGAAGUGAAUUGAUCAGCCUCAUUGAAUUGUUCCAUCUUUCGUGAGGUAGACAUCUUUGUGUAUCGGAGACGAUACGAAGGUGGCUGCUAAUCUUGCCUAGUCUUAGUGUAUGGUAACUGUGCAUCAGAGCAAAACUAAUUAAUCAUAACUGAAAACAGCUAAUCAAGAGAGAUGGAAGAAGAAAAGGCGCAC